rnacentral:rRNA from 1 species
GACGAACGCUGGCGGCGUGCUUAACACAUGCAAGUCGAGCGGUAAGGCCCUUCGGGGUACACGAGCGGCGAACGGGUGAGUAACACGUGGGUGAUCUGCCUCGCACUUCGGGAUAAGCCUGGGAAACUGGGUCUAAUACCGGAUAUGACUUCUGGUCGCAUGGCUGGGGGUGGAAAGAUUUAUCGGUGCGAGAUGGGCCCGCGGCCUAUCAGCUUGUUGGUGGGGUAAUGGCCUACCAAGGCGACGACGGGUAGCCGGCCUGAGAGGGCGACCGGCCACACUGGGACUGAGACACGGCCCAGACUCCUACGGGAGGCAGCAGUGGGGAAUAUUGCACAAUGGGCGAAAGCCUGAUGCAGCGACGCCGCGUGAGGGAUGACGGCCUUCGGGUUGUAAACCUCUUUCGACAGGGACGAAGCGCAAGUGACGGUACCUGUAGAAGAAGCACCGGCCAACUACGUGCCAGCAGC